UACGGAGGGUGCGAGCGUUAAUCGGAAUUACUGGGCGUAAAGGGUGCGUAGGUGGUUGUGCAAGACAGAUGUGAAAUCCCCGGGCUUAACCUGGGAAUUGCAUUUGUGACUGCACGGCUAGAGUGUGUCAGCGGGGGGUAGAAUUCCACGUGUAGCAGUGAAAUGCGUAGAUAUGUGGAGGAAUACCGAUGGCGAAGGCAGCCCCCUGGGAUAACACUGACGCUCAUGCACGAAAGCGUGGGGAGCAAACAGG
rnacentral:rRNA from 1 species